UUGGGUUAAUGUUGAUGUUUUUCCUUUUUGGUUUAAGGUUUGAGUUUAUAGUCUAAGGUUUGGGUUUAGGGUCUACGGUUUAAGUUUAGGGUUUACGGUUUGGGUUUAGGGUCUAGGAUUUGGGUUUAGGUUAUAAGAUUUAGGUUUAGGAUCUAGAAUUUGGGUCUAGGAUUUGGGUUUAGGUUAUAAGAUUUAGGUUUAGGAUCUAGAAUUUGGGUUUAGGGUUUAGGAUUUAGGGUAUAAGAUUUGGGUUAGGGGUUAGGGUUUAGAUUUAGGGUUUAGAGUUUAGAAUUUAGGAUUUAGGGUUUUGUUAGUGGUAUUAGCGUCAUUAAAAUUAACGUUAUUAUUAUUAUUUUUUUUUUUAAAUAAUAUUUUAUUAUUAACCUAAGUUA
rnacentral:lncRNA from 1 species